rnacentral:rRNA from 1 species
AGAAUCAACGCUGGCGGCGUGCCUAACACAUGCAAGUCGAACGAGAAAGUGGAGCAAUCCAUGAGUAAAGUGGCGCACGGGUGAGUAACACGUGACUACCUACCCUUGAGUGGGGGAUAACCUAGGGAAACCUGGGCUAAUACCGCAUAACACCUUCGGGUCAAAGGAGCAAUUCGCUUAAGGAGGGGGUCGCGGCCGAUUAGUUAGUUGGCGGGGUAAUGGCCCACCAAGACGAUGAUCGGUAU